rnacentral:rRNA from 1 species
GACGAACGCUGGCGGCGUGCUUAACACAUGCAAGUCGAACGGAAAGGCCCUGCUUUUGUGGGGUGCUCGAGUGGCGAACGGGUGAGUAACACGUGAGUAACCUGCCCUUGACUUUGGGAUAACUUCAGGAAACUGGGGCUAAUACCGGAUAGGAGCUCCUGCUGCAUGGUGGGGGUUGGAAAGUUUCGGCGGUUGGGGAUGGACUCGCGGCUUAUCAGCUUGUUGGUGGGGUAGUGGCUUACCAAGGCUUUGACGGGUAGCCGGCCUGAGAGGGUGGACGGCGUCAAUGGGCCUGAGAUACGGCCCAGAAUCCUACGGGAGGCAGCAGUGGAGAGUAUUGCGCAAUGGGCGGAAGCGUGAUGCAGCGACGCCGCGUGCGGGAUGACGGGCUUCGGGUUGUAAACAGAUUUCGACUGUGACGAGGCGUGAGUGACGGUAAUGGGUAAAGAAGCACCGGCUAACUACGUG